rnacentral:rRNA from 1 species
GAUGAACGCUGGCGGCGUGCCUAAUACAUGCAAGUCGAGCGAACGGACGAGAAGCUUGCUUCUCUGAUGUUAGCGGCGGACGGGUGAGUAACACGUGGAUAACCUACCUAUAAGACUGGGAUAACUUCGGGAAACCGUAGCUAAUACCGGAUAAUAUUUUGAACCGCAUGGUUCAAAAGUGAAAGACGGUCUUGCUGUCACUUAUAGAUGGAUCCGCGCUGCAUUAGCUAGUUGGUAAGGUAACGGCUUACCAAGGCAACGAUGCAUAGCCGACCUGAGAGGGUGAUCGGCCACACUGGAACUGAGACACGGUCCAGACUCCUACGGGAGGCAGCAGUAGGGAAUCUUCCGCAAUGGGCGAAAGCCUGACGGAGCAACGCCGCGUGAGUGAUGAAGGUCUUCGGAUCGUAAAACUCUGUUAUUAGGGAAGAACAUAUGUGUAAGUAACUGUGCACAUCUUGACGGUACCUAAUCAGAAAGCCACGGCUAACUACGUGCCAGCAGCCGCGGUAAUACGUAGGUGGCAAGCGUUAUCCGGAAUUAUUGGGCGUAAAGCGCGCGUAGGCGGUUUUUUAAGUCUGAUGUGGAAGCCCACGGCUCAACCGUGGAGGGUCAUUGGAAACUGGAAAACUUGAGUGCAGAAGAGGAAAGUGGAAUUCCAUGUGUAGCGGUGAAAUGCGCAGAGAUAUGGAGGAACACCAGUGGCGAAGGCGACUUUCUGGUCUGUAACUGACGCUGAUGUGCGAAAGCGUGGGGAUCAAACAGGAUUAGAUACCCUGGUAGUCCACGCCGUAAACGAUGAGUGCUAAGUGUUAGGGGGUUUCCGCCCCUUAGUGCUGCAGCUAACGCAUUAAGCACUCCGCCUGGGGAGUACGACCGCAAGGUUGAAACUCAAAGGAAUUGACGGGGACCCGCACAAGCGGUGGAGCAUGUGGUUUAAUUCGAAGCAACGCGAAGAACCUUACCAAAUCUUGAGAUCCUUUGACAACUCUAGAGAUAGAGCCUUCCCCUUCGGGGGACAAAGUGACAGGUGGUGCAUGGUUGUCGUCAGCUCGUGUCGUGAGAUGUUGGGUUAAGUCCCGCAACGAGCGCAACCCUUAAGCUUAGUUGCCAUCAUUAAGUUGGGCACUCUAAGUUGACUGCCGGUGACAAACCGGAGGAAGGUGGGGAUGACGUCAAAUCAUCAUGCCCCUUAUGAUUUGGGCUACACACGUGCUACAAUGGACAAUACAAAGGGCAGCGAAACCGCGAGGUCAAGCAAAUCCCAUAAAGUUGUUCUCAGUUCGGAUUGUAGUCUGCAACUCGACUACAUGAAGCUGGAAUCGCUAGUAAUCGUAGAUCAGCAUGCUACGGUGAAUACGUUCCCGGGUCU